rnacentral:rRNA from 1 species
AACGGCGAAGUGAAGCGGCAAGAGCUCAAAUUUGAAAUCUGGCCCCCUCGGGGCCCGAGUUGUAAUUUGCAGAGGAUGCUUCGGGUUCGGCCCCGGUCUAAGUCCCCUGGAACGGGGCGUCACGGAGGGUGAGAAUCCCGUCUGGGAUCGACGGCCGGACCCGUGUGAAGCUCCUUCGACGAGUCGAGUUGUUUGGGAAUGCAGCUCCAAAUGGGUGGUAAAUUUCAUCUAAAGCUAAAUACUGGUCGGAGACCGAUAGCGCACAAGUAGAGUGAUCGAAAGAUGAAAAGCACUUUGAAAAGAGAGUUAAACAGCAUGUGAAAUUGUUGAAAGGGAAGCGCUUGCGACCAGACUCGCCCGCGGGGGCUCAGCCGGCAUUCUUGCCGGUGCACUCCCCCGCGGUCGGGCCAGCGUCGGUUUGGGCGGUCGGUCAAAGGUCCCCGGAAUGUGUCGCCCCUCGGGGCGUCUUAUAGCCGGGGGCGCAAUGCGGCCUGCCCGGACCGAGGAACGCGCUUCGGCACGGACGCUGGCGUAAUGGUCGUAAGCGGCCCGUCUUGAAACACGGACCAAGGAGUCUAACAUCUACGCGAGUGUUCGGGUGUCAAACCCGUCCGCGCAGUGAAAGCGAACGGAGGUGGGAGCCCUGAAGGGUGCACCAUCGACCGAUCCGGAAGUCUUCGGAUGGAUUUGAGUAGGAGCGUAGCUGUUGGGACCCGAAAGAUGGUGAACUAUGCCUGAAUAGGGUGAAGCCAGAGGAAACUCUGGUGGAGGCUCGCAGCGGUUUCUGACGUGCAAAUCGAUCGUCGAAUUU